rnacentral:lncRNA from 1 species
AGUGUUUUGACGACUGCCUCACUAAAGGAAGCUAAAAGCUGUGCUGAUGCCUCCCAGACGAGCCUCGUUGGAAGCACAGAACCUUCACGGCUCGGAGCCGCUGACACCGUGACAAAGGGAGCCCUGCUCAGGAGAAAGAGCAAAUGAGAGGCAGUUGCACUUUUUCAGGUGUCAGGCUGGAGGAAGCCACUUGAAGAUGAAUCUACCUCUGCCUUAGGAUUGCCUGAUGGCCUGUGCCAUUCCAUGUUAUAUCUACUGAUUUGCUCCCUGUAUUCAAAGAUUUUUUUUUUUUACUUAAUUCUCUCUUACUGACCCUGAGAGUGACCAUAUUUUUAACCAAUUUGGUCUUCAGCCUCAAAACUUAGCUCUUUCCUUUUGUGGUCCCCGAAUCCUAUCACGUGUCAUGGUGGCUGUGAAGAUGUUUGCCAAGCCUGCUGAGAAGGCUCAUCUGUGGCAUCCAAAAGCAGAGAUUUCAACUCUGGACCCCUGUGACCUGCCUUUGUAAUUAUGGAUACCCAGCACUGUUUUGAAAUAUCAGUGGACAUCCAGUUUUUAAAAGCCCUCAGAGCUUUGGGAGACACCCCUUUAUCUCUCUGGCAUGUCAGAGAACCGAUUCAACCCUUCUCAUCUCCUCCUCCUUCCCUCUCUUGGGCCAUCAGGAUGCGGCAGCAACUCACUGUGCAUGUUUUUACAGCUCUUCUCCAGUAAUGCUGCCAUUUCCACUGCAGACCACAGGAUAAAAGGACCGCUUCACCGUGGCCCAGGAUACCCUUUUAAGUAGGAGAGGGAGAAGAAAGUACUGCUUUGAUCUAAAAUUAAGCAAACGUUCUUCAAUAAACCCACCAUGAGACUUGACCACUAAUGGUGACCAGCAGUGGCUUUGUCAUGGCCCUGCCCACUGGGGGCAGGCACAUGCCGGGGCCAGGGCAGGCUGCCAGCUGGUGAGCACGAAUAGGUGGCUGGUGGAGCGCAUGCAGUGGGAAGGGCAGAUGGCUCCAUUUUGAUUUGUUAGCAGGCCACUUCCUCGGAAGGGGCUUUCCCUUCAGUGGGGUCUGCACCGCCAGCCUCAGCUGUCUUGGAGCAGAUGUGUAUAGUUAGAGAUGGGGACCUUUUCACUGUAAAUACUGCUCACAUGUUCCUAGGCUGACUUUACUAUGUGCAGAGCCUCUUCUCAAAUAUCCAAAUCCCCUCUGUUGGGUACUACAGAACAGAUGUUACCCUGCCUCCUAUUACAUUAAUUUACGAACUUUACAUAUGCUGAGUUACGGACCCUAAGCUGUUGCAUGUGCUUGGCUCUUAUGUUCCAAAAAGUACAUUUGUAUGGUUUUGUGGAAACUGUGCUGUUCUGCUUUUGCAGUCUGUGAGAUUCUGAUUUUUUUUUUCUCAUCAGCAAUUAUCCUUGUCUUGGAACAUCAGAGCUUGAAGAAAGGGAUUCUAGCAGCCCACCUCUCUCCUUCCUAAUCCAGAUGGUUAGAGGCUUAGAGAGAGGUGGUGGUUGCUCUGAGUUUACCAGAUUCAGUGACAAACCCCUUCUAAUUUCUAAUCAAUCUGGCAGCCUUCAUUUACCAAAAGUUGACUUUUGAUAGUAUAACUUUUAUACACCGUGAGACAACUUAUUUUAAAAAACAGUUUAGAAAUAUUUAAUUUUUUUUUGAAAGACUUUUUAAGGUCAGGCACCAUGGGUCAUGCCUAUCAUCUCAACGCUUUGAGGACUGAAGUGGGAGGAUCAUUUGAGGCCAAGAUUUCAAGAUCAGCUUGGGCAACAUAGUGAGACUCUGUCUCUAAAAAAUUAAAAAAAAAAAUAGCCAGGUGUGGUGGCGCAUGCCUGUAGUCCCAGCUACUUCGGAGGCUGAAGUGGGAGGAUCCAUUGAGCCUAAGAGAUGGCGAUUGAGUAAGCCAUGAUUGCACCACUGCACUCCAGCCUGGACGACAGAGAUGUCAGAAAAAAAUUAGUUUUAUUAUUAUUAGUUUAUAAUAAUAUUAUUUUAAUAUUAAUAUUAUUUAAUAAUUUCAUAUUAUUUAUUAUUAUUAGUUUUAUUAUUAGCAAAACUGAGUGGAAGGCACAGAGAUUUUCCAUAUUCUUCCUGCCUCUCCAACAAACAUGUCUCCCUCAUUAUCAACAUUUCUUCCCAGAGUGGUACACUUUUUAUAAUUGAUGAUCCUACACUGACACAUCAUCAUCACAAUGAGUUCAUAGUUGACGCCAGGGUUCACUCUUGGUGUUGUACAUUCCAGGCAUUUGGACAAAUGUAUAAUGACAUGACUCCACCAUUUUAGUAUCAUACAGACGAGUUUCACUGCCCUAAAAUCCUCUGUGCUCCACUGAUACUUACUCCUUCAUCCCCUUGCUCCCUCAGCCCCUGACAACCACUGAUCUUUUUAUUGUCUCCAUAGUUUGGUCUUAUUUAAUAUUUUUUGAGGUUGCACUGUUGCCCCAGGACAUCGUAUGAGUAGAGGGUUAACCACCUUAGCCAAGAGUAAUUUGGUCUGGUGAGUUCUCCACCUUCAGGACAAAAGCAUUUCAGAACCAUCCUAACAAUAGUGUUCCCAUAAGUAACCAGACACUGUUUGUAUCCAUAGCAACAUGGCUCCAUGAGCCCUGCUUCCGAGGAGCAGCUGCCCUUCCUGGGCACUGUCAAGAGUUGUUCUUCUCUGACAUCCACACCCUUCUUUACCUGGCACAUACCCCAGCCCAGGCACCAGGCAUCCAGGGCCUUCUAUGGCUGUCCGGAUGCAUUCCUUCACAGCUGGAAUGUGGUUGGCUUGUUGACUUCUGUUCCCAGCAUAGUGAACAGUGGGCACUAUAAGCCAGUAGGCACUCAAUUGAUGAUUCUUCAAUGAAAUAAUUGAUGCCACUUUUAGGUCAGUCUUUCUUGUACGUUACACCUUCUGUUGUUCAACAGAGCCCCACAAUAUCCCAGAACUUGGAGGUCUUAUCUCGGGGUUUCUCAGAUGUUGGAGUACCCAGGUAUCACCUGCUGAGCCAGUUUCCCUGGCCUCACCUGCAGGGGCUCUGAGUCAGUAAAUCUGGGGCAGGCCCAGUACUUUGCAUGUGAGCACAGACCCAGGUGUUUCUGAACCUGGUGGUCCAGGGACUGCUGCAGGAAGGAGCCAAUAGGACUGCAUGCCUUAGAGGCAGUGGGUCUCAUCCAUCCCUAUCUAUGGCACUGACUACAGGCCAUGUCCAGGCCACAUGGGCACAUGCUAUUAUAAUUAUUUUGUGUGAUGGAUGAGUUACAGAACUGGAGCCCUAAGACCUGAGUUCUAGUUUCAGCUCUGCCAGUUGCUGGCUGAUUGAAACUGAACAAGCCACCUGCCUUCCCUGAGACUGUCUCUUCUCCUGUGAAAUUAGGGCAUUAGAAUACAUGAAGACCCCUUUAUGUCCUUAAUAACCUGUAAGUUUAAGAACCUAGGGAAUCUCCAUGCUGGUGGCUGCGGUUAUAUCCCCUUAUCCUCAACUCGUGAAGAAAGAGUCAAAAAUGGCAGCAGGGUUGUGUCAACUGCUCUCCUCAGCAGCUAUCAUAAGGGAAUUGCCUUUGUCAUUUUCCCCAGCCAUCACCACACUCCCACACGGCCACCAUCACCUAAACCAUCUGGCAGUGGGGGUUACCUCCUAAAUCUAAGACGCAGAGACCCACCGCAGGCCUUUCUUUCUGGCUGCCCUCCACUCCCACCCAGAGGCUCAGUUUUGCUGGGCUGCACACCUCCGAGGACUCAGUUCUUUGUGUUUCAUGUUGUUUCAUAUCCACUAGUGUUACAGAAACUGCUGCAAACCAGGGACCAAAAGUCCAUAGGUUCUAAUUCUAGCUGUGACACUAGUGAGAUGAGUGACUGCUGGCAAGUUACUUUAUCUAUCUGACCUCACCUCCCAUGUACAAAAUUGGGUCUGUAUGCACAUUUGUGGUUCUAAAUCCUGGAGUCCAAAUCAGAGUUCUUUGUGCAAAAUAUACGUAGCUAGGUCCUAACCUCGGAGAUCCUGACUCAGUCUGGGGAAAGGCGCAGAUCUUGGGGAGAAAACAACUCUCUAGAAGAGUCUCGCCUUCAGUGAGUGACAAGAUCUCUCCUGUCUCUCGGUUCACAAUGUUACCCUAACUAAUCCAUCCUCUGAUGUCACCUGCUAACAACUUCCCCUGUGGCAUCAAACCAGUAGCCCAUUUGCAGCUAGUACAAACACUUCUUUACAUUUAAGUUUUGUUUACGAGAUUUAGCCUACAAUCAUAGAGGCUGCCAGCUGGGUUUCAAAUGUGUAUGUUCCAUUGCUAAUAGGAAAAACUGCAUCUAUUAGAAAAAUUCUCUCUGGGAGCUGAGCACAGAGGCAGGCCUUGUAUUGCAAACAUUUGAAAAGCCAUAAGCAGGUAUUCUGGACUGUGUUUUAGAUCACCUGAGAACAUUUCUUGAACACUAGUAUUUGCUUAGAGUGACAAACCUAUUAAGUGGUUCUUUCAGGUAAGUUUGCAUCCAAGCAAUGUCGUCUGAAUCGCAGGAGGAAGUCAGGAGUUGUGUCUGGCUUUCUGGCCAUACAAAUGGCAUAUGGGAAAGUCAUUGUAUAUUAUUAAUAUCCUUUGAUGUAUAUUAUUAUGACUUUCUCACGGUAGUAAUGUUGUUGGUUUUUAUUAAUGUUAUUUUUAUAGCAAUGCUAAUAUUAUGAGCUAAAAGUUUCUGAGCAUCUGCUGGGUGCCAAAAAUUCUUAUAAAUGCUUUACAUGCAUUAGCUCCUAACAACACUUUGAAGUAAUUCUUAUUGUCCUUACUUGACAUAUACAGGAAUAAAAACCUGACCAUUAGACCGAGCGUGGUGGCUCACGCCUGUAAUCCCAACACUUUGGGAGGCCGAGGCAGGCGGAUCACCUGAGGUCAGGAGUUUGAGACCAGCCUGGCCACCAUGGUGAGACCCCGUCUCUACUAAAAACACACAAAAAAUUAGCCGGGCGUGGUGGUGGGUACUUGUAAUCUCAGCUACCCGGGAGGCUAAUGCAGGAGAAUCGCUUGAACCCAGGAGGCGGAGGUUGCAGUGAGCCAAGAUUGCGCCAUUGCACUCCAGCCUGGGCAACAAGAGCAAAACUCUUUCAAAUAAACAAACAAAACCUAAGCAUUUGAGGGGUUUGGCCUGGGCAGUGGAGCUUGUGAGCUAUAUGAGCUGGAAUCUGAGUCAAGGCUGGGCUGGUGAAAGGAGUUCACUCAAGUUCCCAAGGUAUUCUGUCCUCCAGGACUCUGAAUCACCUGGGAGGAGAAGGAAUUGUGGCGGGCCUAACACCUUUUCUUUCCCAAACACCAAGAGCAGGUUCUUUCUGUUACAUCCAUUGAGGUCACAUUCUUGAAGUGCAUUUUGAGGAAGUCAUUAUUUUCGCUACAGCAGGGACUGAUGUAUCAGUCUAUUAGAAUUCAGAAAAAAGUAAGCAAACAAAAAACGUGUUGGAAUUAUUCUCUUCUAGCAUUUUGAAAUGUACAAUGGUUAAUGUUAACUAUAGCCACCAUGAUGUAUUGAAGACCAGGUCUUAUUCUUUUUAUCUAACUGUACAUUUGUACCCAUUAACCUAAUGCUCAUAGCAUCAAGAAAAGAUCAAUAUUUAAGGUGACAAAUAUCCCAAUUAUGCUGAUUUGAUUAUAUGAAUGUGUUGAAUUAUCAUAUGUACUCCCAAAAUAUGCACAUCUAAGAUGUAUCAAUAAAAAUAAAGACAAAAAUUAAAGCUUUUACAGUAGAAAAAAGGUUUUAGAGAAAUUAUGAUUACUUGAUUCACCUAAACUGACAGUCUUGCUUGGAAUGAAUUACUGCUUUUUGUAACAUAGUUUUAGAAGAGAGAUUCACAUUUAAUGUUACUUUGUGCUAAGCACUGUAAUCCAUGCCUGGGUGCUCACAGCGCUCCUCUGGGACCAGGCAUCACCAUCUCCUCUGUAAAAGGAAGGUCAGCCUGUUGCCAAGACCACAGGAUAAACGGCUUGGCUGAUUUAGGAAACCCAGUUGGUCUUAUGACAAAACAUGCGCAUUUGCCCUUCACCAGGUGAUUUUUCUGUAGGGUUAUCUUCAACAGUCCGACAAAGCUGUGUUCCACCAGCUCAGGCAGGCUGUGACCAGGAUCACCAGCCAUGUGGCAUCAGGAAGAAGGGGCUGUGUGGCCAGGCUCAAUCUCUGGUCCUGCAGCCUUCUGCCUUUGGCUUUCUGAAGCGAGCUGAACUAGAGAUUGGGCCCAGCUCGGCAGCGCAGUUUCAGGAGAGCCAGGAUACAAACCAUCCCAGUCUCUGUUCCCACAAAGGAGAAGCUAAACCAUUUUUUAUUUGCCCAUUCUAAGUGCUAAGUGAUAUGCAACUGCUUCACAUAAGCCUUCCAGCCUUCCAGCCGACUCUGCUUUCAGGAGAUAUCCUUAUGUCCCUUUUGCAUGGCUUAGGAGAGUGAAGCACGUGAGAAUUGAACGAGGGGUCAAGGGUCACAUAACACAUGAGCACGAAACCGGGACUCUCCUGGGGUAUCAGACCCCAAAGCCAGUGGUCUGCGCUUGAUCUUUGCUAACGUCCGAGAAGCAAUAAGUCCAGGGCUCUUGACACAUUAUUGUGCAUUUUACUUUGGGAGGGACUGUGGGUCCACUCUGCUUUUAACAGGAGGAAAUUAAAUAUUUACAUUUGAUUCCAGUUUGGCCCCAUGACUGUCCGGCUUCUUUCCUGUCAAAGGCCCAAAUUCCCUGUUUUAAAGUAGAGGGUGAAUUUGUGUAAUGAGGAUGGAUCGGGCACGUGUAGAACACACUCUUUCACCUGCAGAUUCACACUCCAAACACAAAGAAAUACUGGAUCAUAUAUGGUAUAUUUUAAAAGAUGCCAUAGGCAUACUUAAAAAGCACAACAGAAUUCUAUUUUCUCACGUCAGAGGGCAGAGUCUUAUGAGCUAUUGAGAGGAAAACUGUAUCUUAGGGGUUGAGAGCCUAACGUCUGCUUGGGGGUGUUUGUGGCCCUGGCAGCUGUUGUGUGCAGUGCACAUUAGAACUGAGCAGCUUUAUAAAGCCAGGAACAAGGGUAGAGUCCCUGUGUCUCUGAAUAGAAAUUAGCGAUGCUUAGCCUUCUGUACCAAGGAAUGCAUCACAAAAGCUAAUGCUGGGACUGGGCCUGGUGUGGGAUAGGAGUCACACAGAGGAGUCAGAACGCCAACUGUGGCUGGUGUAAGGGGCCUCCAUUCACACUGUCUUUGCUGUUUGGAAAAUCUGAGCAAGAAUUUAAGGUAAAAGCUGAUGUGGAACAGCUUGCAACCCAAAAGUCUCAAGCCCAGCAUAAAAAUCAUUGCUCCAGUGAAGAUGCCUGCAGAGCUCAAGGCAUUUCUGAGACUCCAUGGGAGAAUGAUUCCUAAGGAAGGUGUGCCCCCAGCACCUGUGGAGACUCAUCACCUUGAGGGCAAACAGACUCUGUAAAAGGAGAAUUCACCUCUAAGGAGCUGCAGACAAUAGAGGGAUUAAAAUGGGCCUUUGAUCAUUCAAAAAGCAUUUUAAAGGAAAAAAUAAAGUAACAUAAUCCAAAUUCCAACAGGAGACUUGAAAAAGAAGGUAAUAACAAAAUGGAAAAUAAAGUCACUGAAAUAAAGCAAGUGAGUUGGACUAUGAAUGUCUCCUGUCCAUUAGCUGUGUCCCCGGCUGCAAGGUCCAUGGGGACUGUGCCUCCCUUGACCUUGAAUCUCAAUGCCUUAGCAAAGUGCCUGGUUCUGGGUAGGUUCACAGUACACAUGUACCUCCCAAAUGGAUGGAUUGCCAACUUAAAUGUUCAUAGGAAGGUGCUAUUUUCAGGCACUUCAGGUGUGGACAUCGGUGUUGUCAGAUCUUUUCUGUUCUAGCCAGGCAUUGUGGACAUCACCUUACUAUGUGAGGGAACAAGCUGCAUUGGUGGAGAGGAAACCAGCAGGAGCACAAUAGUGACCCAUUUCUCUUGUCUUAUGCACUGCAGUGGAAAUAGCCCAGUGUGCAUGGUGGAUUUUAUUAUGGUGCCAGUAGAAAGAUAGGGGGUUUCCUCUAUGAGCUGGCUGACUUACAUGAGCUCAUUCUCUGCAGCAUUUCUCUAGCCAUCUCCUGUCACAUCGUUUAUUGUGUUCACUAGUCCUGUGCUAACGAGGAUCUUUGAAAAAUGACUGGUAUGGUAAUGAUCUACGGAACUUACUGUAGAUAGCAAUUAAAUAUCGUUAACGGCGGGUUACGCUGACACAUUAAAAGGCCUACAGGCUGCGAUUUAUGAAGACAGCUCUGCUGCCUCCUUUGUAUGUGAUGCAUUUCUCUGGUUUCGGCUUAGGCUGUCUGGUCUCAGAAGGGAAUGAUUUCCAGGCUUUCCCCAUCAUCACUCCAGUUGCCAGGCCACCCACAAUCACAUUAGCAAGCUUUAUUGUCCCUAUUGCACCUCCUAAUGCCCUCAGGGUGCUUGAGGUAGCUUUUAUCAAGGUAAGGCCUAGGUCAACAUUUUGUUGUGCAGAAAAGGCAUCUGCUUUCAGAGGAGAAAAUUUAGAUACAAUAUUGAGGUGAAUCUUAUAAGUGAUGUAAGAUAAUUUGAUGACAAGAAUUGAGAUUAUAUGCUGAGAUCUUACUGUCUUAAACUUUGUUGAUUUCUGAAAAUAAUAGAAAUGCAAUCCUAGCUAAAGGAAGAGAAGUAGUCUAGCUCACCAGUGGCCAGCAAACUCUGUAAAGAAGUAUUGCCUUCAUGCAGCAAUCUCACCUAAUAUGAGACUCCAGAUAGAAGAUAGCUCCUGAGAAGUCAAAACACAAACCAAUAUCAUGUAAAUUACUCUCACGUGAAAAAUAGACAAGAGAUAACCAACCCAGUCCCAACCGUCUCACACCCCCACUGGCCUCCUGCACUCAUGGAUGCCACAUUCUUCAACAUUUGUACUUCUGUUAACAGAGUUAAAGUAGAGCAAACAUAGGCUCUUUUACCAAGAGCGUAUGGACUAAAUACAGAUGCAAUGCUAAUAACCACAUGGGAAAAACAAGAUCCUGAGACACUGUUAUGUUUUUCUCCCUCUUUUGUGGCCAAGAGUGUGUGCUCUCUUGCCUUUGUAGAUUUUGCUCACGUUUUUGGGUGAUAGGACCAAAAGCAGUAGUGUCUAGGCCACUAGGAGACAAGGCAAACCAUUAUCUGUGAAAGCCUGGGUUUUCUGAGAGGAAGCAUGCUGGACACUGCCAGUAGAGGGAGAAGUCAUGGUGUGAAGUUUUCCAUGAUGAGAGAUAAGGACAGCUAGGGCAUGGGGAUGCAGAGGAUGUUCUUGUUGUUGAUGGUGUUGUGGAGGUUGUACCCCAAGUCUCUGGGAUAAGACAGCCCCAUGCACAUAGAGGUCAUGAAAAAUGUGAGGACCCUGGACACUGAGUGUCACGGCUUUGGGGACAGUGAUGACAUGUCCCUGUGUCCAAACAGCUCAGUCAGCUUAUCUAAAAGGGAUGGAGAGUACUUCUGUGGGAACAGUUGGAGCUGAAGAACAGAGAACAUUUCCUUUGAUGUUUGGACUCUACGGAAUCUUUGGGAAUUGUGUUCAAGUCCAGGAGGAAUGGCUGAAAACAUGAUUGAGAUAAAUUUGCAGCCAGGAGGUUGAAGACAAAUUAGGAUCUGAUUUUAUUCAACUGGGAGUAACCAUGGCCAAGCAUAAUUCUUCUGGUGGAUUCUGAAGUUAUUUGGAAUUUGCCCAUAAGAUGAAUUUUCCUGAAGAAGGAAGGAUGUGGAGGCUGAUACUGAGGCCCCAUUUCCACAUGUGAACUUCUAAGAAACCACAGCUUUCAUCCAGAGUGGAGAUGAAUGGCACUGGGGUCCACGUUGCCAGAAUGCCUGGGGACAAGGAAUGAGGACUUGUCACCCAAGGCACGAGAUCCAUAGUGGCUACGGGAAUGAAGCCACUGCCUUUGUGGAAAUGACUAAUUCACCCAAAUCCAAGGUGUUUUCCACAACUGAGAGGCCUGGGCUGAGGAUAGAGAUUUGAGCCUUAACUGAGACAUCCUACUGGGAAGUUGCAUCAGUGGUCAGUAUCUGAGGCCACAGAAAAUGUCACAUGAUGGUGUGUCACAGGGCUCCACAUUUAGGACAUUUGUGUACUCAAAGAGAAUCUUUGACGACCAUGACUCAGAGAAAUUUUUAAUGACUUAAAACAGGUUUUGGAUCAUGUUGAUGAUGACAGAUGGUGCAAGCCACCUACCUAAAUCCCUCUGGGGAGGGGUGGUAUUUCUGCAUUGUUCUCAGAGCAGAAAUGUGACAUGGAUGUGGAGGCUCUGGACAGUGAGAUGUGAAGCUGGAGGCAUGGCUUGGCCUCCCUAGAAUGGGUGUGGCCAGGGCAAAGCUGGGACAUCCUCAACCCAAAGGUUUGCAUAACUGGAUUUGAACUCCUUAUAGAUAUUCCUAAACAGUGGUGAUACGGAAGGGAGAGGAGGAGGAAAAAAGGAUGGCUCUUCAUCAAGAGCAAAAGCAAGAGAUUCAGAUAGGAGAUUUCACUUGGCUUUUCUAGUCUUGGGUGGGGACCCAUUAUGGAAGUGAAGAGCUCUGGAAUCUUCCAGAGAAACAAGCAUGGGUAUCCUUUAACAGGUCCCAGAUAGCCAGUUACCGCAGAACAAUGUCCUGUUACCAGAAGCUUAUUGCAGACCUUGUAACCUGAAUCAUUGUGUUGGCCCAGGGCACACCCAGGAGGGUGGCUUGGGAAGGAGAUUCCAGGCUGAGGUAAAUACCGACAUCUGAUUUCCUGACAUUGAGUAGGAAAGCAUUUCAGAGACAAGCUCCAAGAGCUUUGGAAAGGGGAACAUUCACCCACUUCCCACAAUUUAUAAGGGGGCUGGCAGUGGUUGUUUUGGGGAGGAUAAUAAUGGGAAAAGAGAACGGGGUAUGUUAUGGCACACAGAACCAAAAAUGAAGAUUCCUAAGUAGUAAUCUAUUAGUGAGGGAAUUCUUGGGCAAUUUCAAAAAACUCAAAACGUGUUACAGAGAGGAGCCCCUUGGACUUUGUAGGAGACUCGUUUGUCUAUCUGGCCCCAAGGCCCAGAAGUAGCUGACAAAGAGACCCAGUUGUCCCCUGGAUGCCAAACUUGGGGAGAGAAUGGUCCUGGGUGGCAGCCCCUCCCCAUCCAGCCUCAGUCAGAGCUCUCCAGCAAGUCAGCCUGCAGGUAGCUAUGGAGUUGCAGUGUAGUCCUGUUAUUAAUGGCUUUCUGCUUUGGCUGGAUUUCAGACAUAAAGAAGAGAAGAAGGAAAGGUCUGGGUGAUCUGCCUCUUCUGAUAACACUAAAGUUGCACACAUCACCUCAGCUCAUAUUUGAUGGGCUGGGACUUAGUCACUAAGCCACACCCAUCUGCAAAAGUGCUGGAAAGCGUUGCACUCUCUGAUGACCACAUGCCCAGCUAAAUAUUGAGGUCAUAUAUUCCUAUAUAAUAAGACAUAAGCAAAGUGCAGUCACUGAGAAUCACUAGCAGUUUACACCACGAGUAUCUUCACAGCCCAGAAAAGACACUGGGUUGAGUUAAAAUGAAAACUGGAAUAAAUACAAUGAGAAGAUAGAAAGCCUGCUGAGAACACUGGGGUACUUGAGUGGAACUUUAAACAGUGUCUUUGCUAAUGUGUAUGGUAACUGUUCAGAUUGUCUGUUUCUUUAAGCUAAUUGUUUUCUGAUUGUUGAAGCAAUAAUAACUCAUAUCUUGCUUGAGAAAAAAUUAAAAAGUAUGAAAAAUCAAAUAUAAUUAUCACACUACCAAGAGGUAUUACUGCUUCCGUGUUGAUAUGUAUUCUUCUUGUAUUUUCUACAGAUACGCACCCACACAGACACUUUCAUGUUUAUAAUAGAAUUCGAAUGUAUAUAUUUAUAUCUUAUAACUGGAUUUCUUUCAUUGAAAUAAUUUGAUCAGGUAUCUUUUCUCUUGGAUGCGUCCUAACAGUUCUUUCUUUCUCUGAUAGAGCCAGAUCAAGGAAAGAGACAGGAAAGCAGAUGAUUUUACCUGCCUUCCCUAAGUGCACUCGGGAAGAGAAGGAUCAUCUCAAAAAGGGUUAAGGAAUGAGAUCAUGGAAAUCACUUACACACGCGGUCGCGGCUUGGACUUGGCUAGUGAGGCCGGCCUGCCCACUCUGCUUCCAUUCACUCAGACACAGCUUGGGCUUUUCCUCCAAGUGCUGGUAGCAGUCAUUUAUGAGGGAGGAAAGGAGCAGAAUAAACACACUUCUCAGCUCCCAGGCACUCUGUGUGUGUAGACAGAGGCUCGGGUGGAUGAGAAACCUCAGCACACCCAUGAUCUUUGUCAAGGCUGGAGACUUGCAGUGCACACUCCAGGCCUGUGGAAAUGGUUCCACCUGGGUCCCUCUAUUGCUCCUCAGCUGCCACAUUAGGGCACCUCGCCCAAGUCCACGUGUGGGAUGUGCCUGCCUGUGGCCCACCUAACGUAUGCAGUCUGUCUGGAGUGCCAGGCACAGGCUCCUCACGUGGGCUUCAGCUGGAAUUGAAAACUGCAUUUCUCAAGGUCAGCUUUUCCUUGCCCCACAGGCUAGCUUUAGUAACUAGCAAUGUGUGUGCACGUGUGUGCGUGUGUCUAUGUGCGCACACGUGUGUGUGUGUUAAGUGAGUGGGAGAAAGGAAGGGGAGGGGAGACCCAGCUAUAUAAGCACGUUAUUUAUUCCCAAGUCUGUCCUAGUUAGGAAAAUAUUCCCUAGGAUCUCAGUAUGAAUUAACAUUCUUUAAACACACACACACACACACACACACACACACACACACACACACACACACGCCUCGUGCUCUCCUUCUCCUCCUCCUGACAUGAUGGACGGCAGGCGCAGCCCAGGGGCCCGCAGGUCACGCUGUGUCCACGAAUCCCUCUGGGGGCUCUUCUUUCCCUGGGUCCUCCAUGAAGGUCUGAAACAGCCCGGACCCUGCUCCCCAUUUCUUCCCAGCUCAACCUGCACCUCCCCCGGCUUCAGGCGCUGAAGGAGGCAGGGUUCUUCUUUGUUAAGGAUCCAGAGGGCAGGCACCGAGGGUGCUGGAAGGGCUGAAGGGGGUGGAGGGAGAAGCCACCCUGCCACACAGGCUCCCGUCGGCCCCAGCAAGAGCCUCCCCAGCUGCCGGCAGCAUCCUGUGAUCCCCGGAGAGAUUUUUCAUGAGGGCUGUAUAUUUGGAGAGAGAGAGGAAAAGGCAGCUAGCCCAGGGAGGAAGCAACCCCACACGAAUAGCGGCUGCAUCAUAAAUAUUUCUAGAUAGCAAAUAGCCCAUUAAAAGCCCACAUUGUAAUGCCUUGGAGGGGGGCUGCCUUUCCCUGCAAUACCCCGGGACCGUCGGUAAAGCAGGCUUUGUCAUCGUCUGCGUUUUCGCCGCGGCGCUGUCCUGUCUCAGCUCCUCCUGACUCAGCUGAAGGGGGCUGGUGAAUAAUGCAUCACCUAGGGAGAGGCGCUGGGGCUGCGGGGCACAGCUGAGCGUGUGCAGAGGGAGCCCCUCAGGCUUUCUCUCUGUCUGCCUCCAUCUUACCGUAUCCAGAGACCACACUAAAAUGGUGGCUGACGUGGAGACAGAGGAAGCUCCUUUCUAGUUAUGGCCACAAGGCAGGAUGCUGAGGUGUUGUCUAGUUCAUUCAUCAGGAGGAAGGGGAGUCAUUCCAGCCUUCACUGCCUGUGGACGGCAACAACUUCACUGUGGAAGACGCCAGUAGAGUCUGGACACAGCUGACCGUAAUGUUUAUUCAAUCAAUGACUGGUUGCAUGGGCUUGAUCCACAAUGACUCAGCUUUCAGCCAUCGCAAUUGUGCUAUGCUCAGCUGUCAAGUGUGUUUUAAAUCUCCUACUACAUUUUUUUUAAAGUUUUUCUGCCAUCCUUUGUACUCCUUUUUAAAAACUUAUCCAGGAAGUGGUAUGAAAUCUCCAGUACUUCUCGGCACACACAGAUGCGUCUUUUUCUGUUUAUUGUUUUCCCUCUGAGAGUUGUAGUGUUCAGUUGGUUACACCAAGAGAAGUACUUGGCUGGGACUGUUAAAAAAAGUGUCACAAAGCAGCACCAAGGAGAAAACAACACUGUUUUCUGAAUGUUCGUGCUUGGAAUUUCUUUACUACAGGGAAAAUGAGAUGGGGGAGGGCCCUUCUUAUCUAUUUUCAGACAGACAUCUCACAAAUGCAUAAAAAAUAUAAUCCUUUUAGUUCCACUGGCCUUGUAGUUGUUGUAAAUGCAUCUUAAAUUCCUAAAUGAUUUUUAAAUUACAUUAUGUCUUUCAGCGGUGUAGGCUUUGAUUUCUGAGGCUGUUAGCCAGAUAUAGGCUUUAACAAACACUCAUGUUCUUUUGUCUUUAUGUCUUUAUUUUAAAAUUAUAUAUAUACAUAUAUAUAUGUAUGUAUGUAUGUAUAAGUAUCCAGUGAGUAUAAGAAAAAUAUCAAAGAGAAGAAUUUUUCUCAUUCUGUCUUCAAAUAGGUAAUACUUCACAAAUUGAUGUAUGCUCAUGGACAAUAGCAGGUAAUGCUUUUGAAACUGAAAGAUUUGUCUCUGAGUUCCAACAAUUGUCUUAGCAGACAGAGUUUCAAGGUCAUCAAAUCUGUAUCCAUUGGUGGCAUAGAAGAUGUCAAUCACAUUGCCUUUGAAUCAGAACCUAUCAUUGUCAAUACAGAUAAACUGCAGGUUAACUCUCUCUCUGUCUCGCCCCUGGAAACUAGGCUUAAUGUUUUGCCAAAAAUUGGGUAUUUGCUCUUGACCCUAGAGCAAAGGCUCUCACUUCAACAAAACUUUUCACUACUCUCCAGAAGAGCCAAGCCUCAUACUGAUGAGAAGAAGAGAAGGAAGAGAAAUGGGAAGCCGAUCAUUAAAAUAUUUUCCUGCAAGGGGAAGAAAACAACAAUUCUUAAGUGCCAAUAUGAGACAGGCACUAUACUGAGCACUUUGGAUGUGGUAUCUGUUUACAUUUAUUUGAAUAAUAAUCAGCAUAUAGAAAUUCAACAUAGAUUCUGCACCAUUUCUUUCAGUCCUUCUGGAUGGUUUUUCAUUUGUAUUUGUAAUAACUUGAAAGUUACUUAAUCUCUCAUUAAGUUGCUGAGGUAUGCUUUUUAACAUAAUAUUUGCAUAGGCCAUGAACCAGAAUGAAUAAAAGGAAAAUCCCAAGAUCUAGAACAUUGUUUUAGAAUUGAUGCCUACCCAACACUUUGUCCUGAGUUUACUUAGCAUAUAGAAAGGAGUUACAUACACAAUGAACAUUCGAGGACUGAAUUUUAGUUGAAGUAACUGAGAUGAGUAAACAAAAAAUGCCAGAAGCUCACUGCCUCCUCCACCCCCACCACACCUGAUGCAGUCCAGAGGCAAAUUUCUUUGUUAAUCCACUUAUUUGUGUUAUUUUUAUGUAUUUAUACUUAUAGUACGUAGCAUAUCUAAGCUCAUGUCUGUCUUAGGAAUUGGAAUUUUAGCAGGCAGAGAGAUCAUCACCUUAACUCUGUGGUGUUCAAUCUUUUAGCUUCCCUGGGCCACAUCACAAGAAGAAAAAUUGUCUUGGGCCAUACAUAAAAUACACCAACACUAAUGAUAGCUGAUGAGCUAAAAAAAAAAAAACCUGUCAAAAAUAUCAUAAUUUUUUUCAUUGCUUGAGCAAUUUUUUUAUUAUUAUUAUACUUUAAGUUCUAGGGUACAUGUGCACAACGUGCAGGUUUGUUACAUAUGUAUACAUGUGCCAUGUUGGUGUGCUGCACCCAUUAACUUGUCAUUUACAUUAGGUAUAUCUCCUAAUGCUAUCCCUCCCCUCUCCACCCACCCCACGACAGGCCCCAGUGUGUGAUGUUCCCAAAAAUAUCAUAAUGGUUUAGGAAAGUUUACGAAUUUGUGCUGGGCUGCAUUCAAAGCCAUCCUGGGUUGCAUGUGGUCUGCAGGCCCCAGGUUGGACAAGCUUGCCUUAAAUGAAGUUUACAAAUAGUUACAAUUAUGUUUAGUGCUACAGAUUAGAAGUAUAUGCUAAUAUGUAAUUGAUAUGGUUUGGCUGUGUUCCCACCCACAUCUCACUUUGAAUUAUAAUAAUCCUCACAUGUCAAGGGUGGGGCCAGGUGGAGAUAAUUGAAUCAUGGAGGCAGUUUACCCCAUACUACUCCCGUGGUUGUGAAUAAGUCUCAUGAGAUCUGAUGGUUUUAUAAAUGACAGUUUCCCUGCACAAGCUCUCUUGCCUGCCGCCAUGUAAGAUAGGACUUUGCUCCUCAUUCAUCUUCAGCCAUGAUUGUGAGGCCUCCCCAGCCAUGUGAAACUGUGAGUCAAUUAAACCUCUUUCCUUUAUAAAUU